rnacentral:rRNA from 1 species
GCAUAUCAAUAAGCGGAGGAAAAGAAAAUAACAAUGAUUCCCCUAGUAACUGCGAGUGAAGAGGGACAAGCUCAAAUUUUAAAUCUAUCGGGUUUUACCUGAUCGAGUUGUAAUUUGAAGAUGGCGUUUUCUGUGUUUCUGAUCAGUCCAAGUCCUUUGGGAUAAGGCAUCAUGGAGGGUGAGAAUCCCGUUCGGUUGAUCAGAUUCGCUUUACGAUACGUUAUCAAAGAGUCAAGUUGUUUGGGAUUGCAGCUUAAAAUGGGAGGUAAAUUUCUCCUAAGGCUAAAUAACGGCGAGAGACCGAUAGCGAACAAGUACCGUGAGGGAAAGAUGAAAAGAACUUUGAAAAGAGAGUUAAACAGUACGUGAAAUUGUUGAAAGGGAAACGAUUGAAGCCAGUCGUACCUUCGGGUAAUCAGCCUUUUGGGUGUGAUUUUGUGGAGCGUGAAGAGUUAAACGCCUUCAUGCCUGCAUAUUCGUGCACUUUGGGUGUACUUGCCCGUAUGGUUGGUUAACAUCAAUUUUGGUGGUCAUAAAAUGACUGGAGGAAUGUAGCUUCGAUCUUGUAUUGAAGUGUUAUAGCCUUCGGUAGAUGUGAUGAUCGAGAUUGAGGAUUGCAACGGAUACCCUUCGGGGCUACCUGUCUGGUCUCUGAUAGAG